UAGCGAGGAGGAGAACCAACAGGGAUUGCCUCAGUAACGGCGAGUGAAGCGGCAAGAGCUCAAAUUUGAAAGCUGGCUCCUUCGGGGUCCGCAUUGUAAUUUGCAGAGGAUGCUUCGGGAGCGGCCCCCAUCUAAGUGCCCUGGAACGGGCCGUCAUAGAGGGUGAAAAUCCCGUCUGGGAUGGGGUGUCCGCGCCCGUGUGAAGCUCCUUCGACGAGUCGAGUUGUUUGGGAAUGCAGCUCUAAAUGGGUGGUAAAUUUCAUCUAAAGCUAAAUAUUGGCCGGAGACCGAUAGCGCACAAGUAGAGUGAUCGAAAGAUGAAAAGCACUUUGAAAAGAGAGUUAAACAGCACGUGAAAUUGUUGAAAGGGAAGCGCUUGCGACCAGACUCGCCCACGGGGUUCAGCCGGCAUUCGUGCCGGUGUACUUCCCCGCGGGCGGGCCAGCGUCGGUUUGGGCGGCCGGUCAAAGGCCCUCGGAAUGUAACGCCCCCCGGGGCGUCUUAUAGCCGAGGGUGCCAUGCGGCCAGCCCAGACCGAGGAACGCGCUUCGGCUCGGACGCUGGCAUAAUGGUCGUAAGCGACCCGUCUUGAAACACGGACCCAA
rnacentral:rRNA from 1 species